rnacentral:misc_RNA from 1 species
AACACUGUUAACCUGCGGUACCUGCGGAGGGAUCAUUACAAGAACCAAGGCUAGUCGCGCCUAUUCGGGCUUCGUGCCCGCUUUAGGCUGCGGCCCGCUCCUUACCUUGCCUACUGCACCGUUCGUUGCUUCCUGGCGGCGGCCUGCCCGCGCCAGGAACCUUCUCAAAGUCUUGUAUUAAGUAUUAACACUGAUGCACACCUAAAUGAUACAACUUUCAGCAAUGGAUCUCAGAUCGGA